rnacentral:pre_miRNA from 1 species
UCUCACAGCUCCUUGCAUUUAGCAGCACAUGGGUGUGGGUAGCUUGAUGGAAGAUGUUGAGCAGGCC